GACGAACGCUGGCGGCGUGCUUAACACAUGCAAGUCGAACGGAGGACUAAGAGGAAGCUUGCGACUCCUAGUCCUUAGUGGCGGACGGGUGAGUAACACGUGGAUAACCUGCCUGUAAGACCGGGACAACACCUGGAAACGGGUGCUAAUACCGGGUAAGCUCAUUUUCCCGCAUGGGAAGAAGAGGAGAGGGGAAACCCGCUUACAGAUGGAUCCGCGGCCCAUUAGCUAGUUGGCGGUGUAACGGACCACCAAGGCGACGAUGGGUAGCCGGCCUGAGAGGGUGAUCGGCCACACUGGAACUGAGACACGGUCAGACUCCUACGGGAGGCAGCAGUGGGGAAUCUUCCGCAAUGGGCGAAAGCCUGGCGGAGCAACGCCGCGUGAAUGAUGAAGGCCUUCGGGUUGUAAAAUUCUGUCUUCAGGGAAGAAAAAAAUGACGGUACCUGAGGAGGAAGCCCCGGCUAACUACGUGCCAGCAGCCGCGGUAAUACGUAGGGGGCGAGCGUUGUCCGGAAUUACUGGGCGUAAAGGGCGCGUAGGCGGUUUAUUAAGUCAGAGGUGUAGCUCCCGGCUCACCGGGGGACUGCCUUUG
rnacentral:rRNA from 1 species